rnacentral:lncRNA from 1 species
GCCUUUCAAACCACAAACUAAUACAUAAAGGCUUCUGAAAGUUGUCACUCCGAUUUCCUCAGAUCUUGAAAAAAUACUUUUUUUUUUUUUUUUUUUUUUUUUCCCAGUUCUUAAUUAUUUUUAAUUAUUUUUAAUGGUGGUGAAAUCUAGUCAUGAGACAUACCUAAGACUAGUCUGCAAAGGUUUCUUCUCCACCAGGCACUUGUAAGUGUGAAUGGGUUGCUGAGGAGCAAAUCAAAGGAAGGUUGUGUCCCUGCUCUUCAAUAGCUUCUCCAGGGCUGUGUAAAAUCUUACUACCAUGGUCUCCAGGUACAGCUACCAACCAGGAGAGUAUGUCACUGCCACCAGAGCUGGGCCAUUCUCAAGCAGUUGACAGGCUGAGAAUUGCUUAUCGAAGUUUCUGAAUGAAUGAAUCAUGAAGCUAAUUAAUAUAGAAUUUGCAUGAAAUAAAGCAGCAAAUGACAGUCA